UAGGGAAUAUUGGGCAAUGGGCGAGAGCCUGACCCAGCCAUGCCGCGUGCCGGAUGAAGGCCUUCUGGGUUGUAAACGGCUUUUCUCAGGGAAGAAAAAGGUCUUGCGAGACAAACUGACGGUACCUGAGGAAUAAGCACCGGCUAACUCCGUGCCAGCAGCCGCGGUAAUACGGAGGGUGCAAGCGUUGUCCGGAUUUAUUGGGUUUAAAGGGUGCGUAGGUGGCCCGUUAAGUCCGGGGUGAAAGCCCACAGCUCAACUGUGGAACUGCCCUGGAUACUGGCGGGCUUGAGAGUCGUCGAGGGUGGCGGAAUGGACGGUGUAGCGGUGAAAUGCAUAGAUACCGUCCAGAACCCCAAUUGCGUAGGCAGCUGCCUAGGCGACAUCUGACACUGAGGCACGAAAGCGUGGGGAGCGAACAGG
rnacentral:rRNA from 1 species